CCUACGGGAGGCAGCAGUGAGGAAUAUUGGACAAUGGGCGCAAGCCUGAUCCAGCCAUGCCGCGUGCAGGAAGACGGUCCUAUGGAUUGUAAACUGCUUUUGUACGGGAAGAAACACUCCUUCGUGAAGGAGCUUGACGGUACCGUAAGAAUAAGGAUCGGCUAACUCCGUGCCAGCAGCCGCGGUAAUACGGAGGAUCCAAGCGUUAUCCGGAAUCAUUGGGUUUAAAGGGUCCGUAGGCGGUUUAGUAAGUCAGUGGUGAAAGCCCAUCGCUCAACGGUGGAACGGCCAUUGAUACUGCUAGACUUGAAUUAUUAGGAAGUAACUAGAAUAUGUAGUGUAGCGGUGAAAUGCUUAGAGAUUACAUGGAAUACCAAUUGCGAAGGCAGGUUACUACUAAUGGAUUGACGCUGAUGGACGAAAGCGUGGGUAGCGAACAGGAUUAGAUACCCUGGUAGUCCACGCCGUAAACGAUGGAUACUAGCUGUUGGGCGCAAGUUCAGUGGNGUAGACGAAGUAGAGUAAGUAGUACCACCGUACGGGAGGUACGGUUCGUCGAAGAAGUAGAAACGUUAACGUAAAGGAAAGUUAGUACGGCGUUGAGACGUUGCCGACGGACGACGACGAGGGGAGGUUAGGNGG
rnacentral:rRNA from 1 species